UGCAGGUUUCAGCAGCAUUCACCAGCAACUGUGCAGGGUGACUGUGUGGGUGGAAAUAUGAAAGGCAGAAAUCUAAAUGUGUCUGACACAGCGUCCACAGAGCCUCGGUGGAUCCUUCUGAGAACUCUGGGUAGACUGGCUGCAGGGGAAAGCUCCAUCAGCGGCUCUGCUCCUCGAGGCUCGGUGGGACCACAAGAAUAACAUCUAAUCAAAACCCUUCAUCUUGAUGCCCGCCGAGAGGAAGACGAGCUAUCUCUUCACCGCCUCUUGCCACCUAGCACCUCAGUUUGAAGGGUGAGGAGCAGUAAUGCAAAGGGCUUAGUGCCACACAGCCAAUCAUCUUGGCAGAUGACUUUAAGCUCAAUUUCUGGCUGAUAAAACCCUCAAUUGACCUGCCGUUACCUUCAGGGGUGGCUGAACAGAGCUUAUAUGAACACGGCUGACAUUUCAAGUUAUUCUUAAUUUAGUUUUUUUUUAAUUAAAAAUCAAAUGCAUAUUCACUCA